rnacentral:rRNA from 1 species
CCCUUAGAUGUUCUGGGCCGCACGCGCGCUACACUGAUGCAUUCAACGAGUCUACAACCUGGUCUGAUAGGGCUGGGUAAUCUUUUGAAUGUGCAUCGUGAUUGGGAUAGAUGAUUGCAAUUCUUCAUCUUCAACGAGGAAUGCCUAGUAAACGCAAGUCAUCAGCUUGCAAUGAUUACGUCCCUGCCCUUUGUACACACCGCCCGUCGCACCUACCGAUUGAAUGGUUCGGUGAAGAUCUCGGACUUCGAUAUUUAUUCUUUACUGAGUUUAUAUUGUGGGAAGUUAUCUAAACCUCAUCAUUUAGAGGAAGGUGAAGUCGUAACA